GAUGAACGCUGGCGGCGUGCCUAAUACAUGCAAGUCGAGCGACCGGACGAUAAGCUUUCUUCUCUGCUGUUAGCGGCGGGCGGGUGAGUAACACGUGGAUAACCUACUUCUAAUACUGGGAUAACUUCGGGAAACCGGUGCUGAUACUAGAUCAUAUUUCGAACGGCAUGGUUCAAAAGUGCUAGACGGUUUUCCCGUCACAUUUAGCUGAAUCCGCGCUGGAUUAGCUAGUUGGUAAGGUAACGGCUUACCAAGGCAACGAUGCGUAGCCGACCUGAGAGGGUGAUCGGCCACACUGGAACUGAGACACGGUCCAGACUCCUACGGGAGGCAGCAGUGGGGAAUAUUCCGCAAUGGGCGAAAGCCUGACCGAGCCACGCCGCGUGAGUGAUGAAGGUCUUCGGAUCGUAAAGCUCUUUUAUUAGGAAAGAACAGAUGUAUAAGAAACUGUGGCUAUUUUGACGGUACCUAAUCAGAAAGCACCGGCUAACUACGUG
rnacentral:rRNA from 1 species